UAUGUAGGAUUUUGGCAGGGGAGUGGGGAGUGAACUGCCAAAAUUAUUUCUCUGGCUUUAGAUACUAUGUACCUUGAACAUGGGGGAGGUAGAAAUAUUUCCUGCUCCAUUGCAAAUGGAAAUUCUCCUGAGCCAACCCUGGCAGAGUCAAGAGUAUUUUGACUUGCCGAAGAGUAUAAGCUGGAUUGUAAAAAUGAGGAGGAAGUAAAAGCAGAUGGUUGUGGGAAACCUUUGACCACUUUUGGAUUGGGGCUGCAAGAGAUCAGGGAAGUGCAGAUGCCAGGGCUGGCUAAAACAGGUAGUUGCUUCUAAGUGGCUGUCCUAUAUGUGAGCUGUCGGGUCUGCCUCCUCAUGUUCCAGAGGAUAUUUGAGUGAGGAACCUAAUGAAUUUUUGGUAGUUUGCCAAUCCCCAUAGAAAGGUUGUCCUGUCACCUUUCUGAGAGCCCUGCCAUUGUUGGGCUUUUAGUCUGUGUACUGUGUGCAAAGGAAAGGUUCCUGGUGGGAGUAAAGAAACUGGUAAAGUGAUGGCAAAUGGAACAAGACUACAUGGAUUAAUAAAAAGUGGGAAUGGACUACAUGAGAAAAAGGAAACAAGACAGCAACUGGGAACAUCAAGGAAAGCAAUUAAGGUGAAUAAAGACUGAUCCAUAGGAAUACAGAAAGAGAGAGAUGAGAGAAAUCAAUCCUAGUCAAAAUGAAGUAAAAGCAAAGAUUAAGAAGACUGAAAAAGAGGAUGGGAGGGAAAAGCAACAAGAGACUAAAGAACAAGUUGAAAUAAAGGACAGACUAGAAGAAAUGGGAAUCACAGCUGUAAUUGGUCAAAUACUAAAAAGGUGGCUGUAUCAAGGAGGGAAGCAAACAUUGCCUUGUUUCCUGGCCUUUGUAACUAGAACUGCUAUGCUGCUAUGGCUGGUCAGUUUGGAGGGCCUUGUUGCAUCACAAAAAGGACUUGAUUCUCAUGGGUUCUUAAUUCUGAAGUUUCCAGAGCUCACCUGCCUUAACUGCCAUCAUUGCAAGAGGCAAGCAAAACACCAAACAGGAAGGAUUUCAAAUGGAAGGGCAGCUAUAGAAAGAUCAUCAGACUCUUGCCCAUUAAUGAGAACUCUUAAAGGAUGAUCAGAGUCUUGGAGAAAAUGGCUGGCCAGGAAAAACAAACCAUAGGAUCUGACAGAAAAGCAGGUCUUGCCAAGUCUGAAUCACCACCAGGCAUCAUGGACAAGGAAGCUAAGGUAAGAGAUCUCUUCCCAUCAGAUGCUGUCUGUAACCUUCUUUCAACAGGCAAGAAUCAAAAGCCAUACACUUUCCAUUAAUUUGAUGCCACUGGCUCCACUGGUGCAGAGAGUCCUUUGGGGCGAAUAUCUAGGUGAGUCCUCCUCCAUCCAUUAACAACAGUCCUCUGAAGUUUCUAGACUAUUCCGUAGUUUUGCUUAAUGUUGCUUCCUUCACCACUAUAUCGGACUAAGGUAAAUGAUAGCAUGUGGAAUGCAAUGCUGAUCUCAGAACUGGUUGCGGUCAUCAAAAUACUUCAGUGUGCUCUUGAAGGUAAGUACAGUGAUUAUCAAAAUUCUACAGCAGGAGAACUGAAAGAGGGACAACUAUUCAGGCAUUGACUAGAUGAAUAAGCCUAUAAAAUCACACUUGCAGAUUCUCACAGCUUACUGCCACUGGGCUCAGUCUUUUCACUUGGAAUUACUUCCUAAACGCCUGUGACAUCAUGCUCAUAUGCUGGCCGUCACUAGAAAUAGGGAGGCCAAGACAAGCUGCACAGUGGAAUUUAUGCAAGCUACACUGCAUGGAGCAGAAAUGUACAUACAGAGGUAAAACCAUCAUUCAGGUAAUUAUACU